rnacentral:rRNA from 1 species
AGACCUGCCCGGUGAAUAUUUAUUUAAACGGUCGCGGUAUUUUGACCGUGCAAAGGUAGCAUAAUCAGUUGUCUUAUAAUUAAAGACUGGAAUGAAUGGUUAAACGAAAUUAGAGCUGUUUCAUUUGUAUUUAUUAGAAAUUGGCUUUUAAAUGAAGAGAUUUAAAUUUGAUUGAGGGACAAGAAGACCCUAUUGAGCUUUAAAUAAUUUUUAGGGUUAAGGUUAUUAUUAUAAAGAUCUAUGGUCUUUAGUAUUUUUUAGUUGGGGACUAAGGAACAGGAGAAGCUUCCUUUAUUUAUUUAAUUGAUAAAUUUUGAUCCUGUAUUACUGAUUAAGAGAGAUAGUUACCAUAGGGAUAACAGCAUAUCUUCUUGAGAGUUCUUAUUAAAAAGGGGGGUUGUGACCUCGAUGUUGGACUAAAAUAUCCUAAGGGUGUAGAAGCUUUUGAGGGGUUGG